UACAGAGGUCCCAAGCGUUGUUCGGAUUCAUUGGGCGUAAAGGGUGCGUAGGCGGUGGGGUAAGUUGGAUGUGAAAUCUUGGGCUUAACCUCAAAAUUGCAUUCAAUACUGCUCCGCUCGAGUUCUGUAGAGGAGAUUGGAAUUUACGGUGUAGCAGUGAAAUGCGUAGAUAUCGUAAGGAACGCCAGUGGCGAAAGCGAAUCUCUGGGCAGCAACUGACGCUGAGGCACGAAGGCCAGGGAGCAAACGGG
rnacentral:rRNA from 1 species